rnacentral:rRNA from 1 species
AUUGAACGCUGGCGGCAGGCCUAACACAUGCAAGUCGAGCGAGCGGCGGACGGGUGAGUAAUGUAUGGGGACUGCCCGAUAGAGGGGGAUAACUACUGGAAACGGUAGCUAAUACCGCAUACUAUCGGAUAACCCAUAUGGGAUUAGCUAGUAGGUGAGGUAAUGGCUCACCUAGGCGACGAUCCCUAGCUGGUCUGAGAGGAUGAUCAGCCACACUGGAACUGAGACACGGCCCGGACUCCAACGGAGGCAGCAGUGGGGAAUCUUUCACAAUGAGCGAAAGCCGGAUGCAGCCAUGCGGCGUGUAUGAAGAAGGCCCUAGGGUUGUAAAGUACUUUCAGUCGGGAGACGUUACCGACAGAAGAAGCACCGGCUAACUCCGUGCCAGCAGCCGCGGUAAUUC